CGUGGCUGAUCCUAUAUCUUUAGGGAGGAAUUGCGGGGGCGGAGCGGCUGCACAAAUCAAGGGUUCUAAAGAAGCUGCUAAAAGAACAAGAAUCAACUGGACGGAUAUACGGAGCAAUCUGCUCUUCACCUGCAGUCCUGCAUAGACAAGGAUUACUCAAGGAUAAGAGAGCCACAGCUCAUCCAUCUAUCAUAAGCGAGCUCACCAACAAAGCAGUGGAUGGUGCCGGAGUGGUUAUCGAUGGCAAACUGAUCACAAGCAGGGGACUUGCCUCUGCAGCCGAUUUUGCCUUGGCUAUUGUGAGUAAGCUUUUUGGUCAUGCAAGGGCAAGGAGUGUAGCAGAAGGUCUUGUUAUCGAGUACCUCAGGACCUAAAAAGAUGAUUUGUAACCCGUGAAGUGUUUGAGACGCCAAAUGCCCAUAGCCAAGAAAGAUGGAGCGAUUUUUUCCCAACUCGAUCAGCCAUUAGAAGAAGAAAAUAAUCUUCUCUGGUGGGUUGGUUAUAUAUAAGAACGAAGUUUUUUCUUUGUUCACGGGAAAAAUUACUUGCAGAAAGAAUUCACAAUGAUUGAGAACAACGGCUUGAAAUCCUCAUUUAUAUUGAUAAGCCGCAAUCAGGUAUCUUGGAUUUCUGCAGACAUAACAAGAUGUGGCAUGCUAACUAUUAGAUCAGUGUUGCUUUCUGCAGACCUUACUCUGGACCAAUACCAUUGAGGAUUGGUGCUUUUUUGCCCGGCAUGCAAAGAAAAUGACGUCAGUCAUGACUGUUAUUUCCGUGUCAUUAAGCUUUUUGUCAGAGAGCAAUCCAAAGUUGUGUGCGCGAUGUCCUCCUGUAAACAGGUUUUGAUGUUUUGAAGUACCUCGUUUAUAUUUGUAUAAACAGUUCUAUUUUUGGAUCUGUAUGCAUAUCCUUAUUUCUUCCCUUUGGCCAUUAGGAACAUUUAAGACUGUAUUUGGAUCAUGGAUUUGAGUAGAUAGCAAAAGUUACUUUGAAUUUGAAAAGUCUAGUUCUUAGCAAGUGAAAAUGGAACAAGAGAGCUUCACUGUUA